AGUCCUUCACUUACCACGCCAAAAGUCACCUUAUUCCAACCGAUAGAUCUCCAGAUAUUACAAAAAUCCUAAACAACCCCAAUCUGCUAACUUCCGAUACCUUUUUACACUAAUGGUCAAAUAUCUUCUAUCUGUUCCGUCAAAUAAACAUAACUUUUUUGCAUGCACUUGGCAUACUCAAUCCUCUAGAUACCUCUAAUUUUCAACUGCAAAAGUUUCUCUGAUUUCACAUAACACUCAAGAGUUUCAGCCUUAACUUUAAUGCAAAAAUUCAAUUCACCAAUACAAACACUGACUUUCAGCAACGAUUGCAAAAAGUCCUCCCAAAUCCUAUGAAUCCAAUUCUACACCUU
rnacentral:lncRNA from 1 species